UGAGUCUUAUAUUGACAUAACCUGAAAGACCACUCAGCAAGGAAGAAGCCACUGCUCCAAAACCGCCAUAAAAAAAGCCAGACUACGGUUUGCAACUGCACAUGGGCACAAAGAUCAUACUUUUUUGGAGAAAUGCCCUCUGAUCUGAUGAAACAAUCAUGGACGUAUGGCAUAUAGAAUGUGUAGGCUGUGAUGUGGACGGUAGGACGUAUGGCAUAUAGAAUGUGUAGGCUGUGAUGUGGAAGGUAGGACGUAUGGCAUAUAGAAUGUGUAGGCUGUCGAGUGGAAGGUAUGACUUAUGGCAUAUAUAAUGUGUAGGCUGUCGAGUGGAAGGUAUGACUUAUGGCAUAUAUAAUGUGUAGGCUGUCGAGUGGAAGGUAUGACUUAUGGCAUAUAUAAUGUGUAGGCUGUCGAGUGGAAGGUAUGACUUAUGGCAUAUAUAAUGUGUAGGCUGUCGAGUGGAAGGUAUGACUUAUGGCAUAUAUAAUGUGUAGGCUGUCGAGUGGAAGGUAUGACUUAUGGCAUAUAUAAUGUGUAGGCUGUCGAGUGGAAGGUAUGACUUAUGGCAUAUAUAAUGUGUAGGCUGUCGAGUGGAAGGUAUGACUUAUGGCAUAUAUAAUGUGUAGGCUGUCGAGUGGAAGGUAUGACUUAUGGCAUAUAUAAUGUGUAGGCUGUCGAGUGGAAGGUAUGACUUAUGGCAUAUAUAAUGUGUAGGCUGUCGAGUGGAAGGUAUGACUUAUGGCAUAUAUAAUGUGUAGGCUGUCGAGUGGAAGGUAUGACUUAUGGCAUAUAUAAUGUGUAGGCUGUCGAGUGGAAGGUAUGACUUAUGGCAUAUAUAAUGUGUAGGCUGUCGAGUGGAAGGUAUGACUUAUGGCAUAUAUAAUGUGUAGGCUGUCGAGUGGAAGGUAUGACUUAUGGCAUAUAGAAU